CCCAACAUGAGUAAAAACAACCCCACAAAAUGCCCCGACAGCCUCAACCCAGCGUUUGGGUUGAGAAAAUAACCCAGUAUUUUUUAGAGUGUGUGUGUGUGUGUCAGUGGAAGCUCCUCC